GAGAGAGAGAGAGAGAGAGAAUAGUUGCCGGGCAUAAGUGAAUUGGAUGAUAAACGAGGUCAUUUCUAGUGUAGAGUGGAGCUGCUUGUGUUUUGGCCAUGGCUCAGCAGCAGUCCUCGCGUCUCAAUCGGUUACUCACUCUAUUAGACACUGGUUCGACUCAAGCGACAAGAUUUACUGCUGCAAGGCAAAUUGGGGAUAUUGCCAAAUCACAUCCUCAGGAUUUGAGUUCUCUUUUGAAGAAGGUUUCUCAAUACCUCCGCAGUAAAAACUGGGAUACAAGAGUUGCUGCUGCCCAUGCGAUUGGGGCUAUUGCUCAGAAUGUUAAGCACACAUCUUUGGCUGAAUUAUUUGGUUGUGUAGAAACGAAGAUAUCUGAGGCUGGCAUUUCAGGUGUUGUUGAAGAUUUGGUUGCUUGGCCUGAUUUUCAUUCUAAGAUCAUAUCAAGUGGUUCAUUUAGAAGGUUGUUGAUGGAUUUGCAUAUGCUGUUGUAUUUAUUUCUUUAAUGGAAUCGGUUUAUGUUGAUACAUCUCAUAAGAGCAUCAUGUAUAUGGACUCGUUUCUUUUGACACAUCCUCAUAAGAGUAUCAUGUAUGCUUUUCUUGUAUAUAAUUGAUAUCUAUCUUUAGAAAUUUAAAUGAUUAUAUAUUUUAAUGUCUUUUGAUAUGCUCACUUUUUAUUUUUCCUCAACAUUGUUUAAACAGUUUUGAUAUCAACAAAGUGUUGGAAUUCGGGGCUUUAUUGGCAUCUGGGGGGCAGGAGUAUGAUAUAGCAAAUGAUAAUUACAAGAAUCCAAGGGAGCGAUUGGCUCGUCAGAAACAGAAUUUACGACGUCGUCUGGGCUUGGAUGUUUGUGAGCAGUUUAUGGAUGUCAAUGAUGUAAUUAAAGAUGAAGACCUUGUUGUCCAAAAAUUAAACCCCCAAGGAAAUGGAUUGGAGCGUAGAUUUUAUAUGCCCCCCUCUGUCCAUAACAUUCAGCGACUGGUUGCAAGUAUGGUUCCUAAUGUUGUAUCUAAAAGGCCAAGUGCAAGGGAACUGAAUCUCUUAAAGCGAAAAGCAAAAAUAAAUUCGAAAGAUCAAGCAAAAGGUUGGACUGAGGAAGCUGAUGCAGAGGUGCCUUUUUCUCAGAGUACAAUUCCAAAGGCCUCAAAUCAAGAUUCAUUUAACUCUAAUAAGGUAGAUGCUGAUGAAGAUGGUUUUGAGCAUGAUGGAGAUGGUAGGUGGCCUUUUCGUGGUUUUGUUGAACAAAUUAUUCUCGACAUGUUCGACCCUGUUUGGGAGGUUCGCCAUGGUAGUGUUAUGGCAUUGAGGGAAAUUGUAACACAUCAUGGUGGUUCUGCUGGGGUGUUUAUGCCCGACUUGAGUUUGGAAGGGGCCCUAGAUGAUUUAAAAGAUAUAGAUUAUUCAAGCACAGUGAAAAGAGAGAGAGAAAUUGAUUUGAAUAUGCAAGUUUCGUCAGAGGAGUUGGAGCCACAUCUGAAAAGGCCAAAAUUUGAGGAAGGGUCAUCUUUGUCAAUGGGUACCAUGUUCUCUACUGGCUCUGGAGGUAACUUUGACGUUAGUGUGAAGGUUGAAGAUGGUGGAUGGAAUAUCCCUGCAGGACAAGUUAAUGGUCAAGUCGAUGUUAGUUCUGUUAAGAUGGAAUGUGAUGCUUACCCUGAUGGGAUAUCUUGUUUAUCUAAAGGUGCAGUUGAUAUGGUGGAGCCAAAGGGUUACUGUGAAGACAAGAGUUCUGUGAAAUCAGAUAUACUGAACAACCUUCCUGAAAAUAGUGACCUGAUGAACUUGGUUAAACUUGCUAGGCAUUCAUGGAUGAAAAAUAGUGAAUUUCUUCAAGAUUGUGCAAUUCGUUUCUUAUGCAUAUUAUCAUUAGACCGUUUUGGAGAUUAUGUGUCUGACCAGGUUGUCGCCCCAGUACGGGAAACUUGUGCACAAGCAUUAGGCGCUGCAUUUAAGUACAUGCAUCGCACUUUAAUUUUUGAAACGCUGAAUAUUCUGCUUCAAAUGCAGUGUAGACCAGAAUGGGAAAUUCGUCAUGGAAGCCUUUUGGGUAUCAAGUAUUUGGUUGCAGUUCGUCAGGAGAUGCUGCCUGAUUUACUUGGCUAUGUUUUGCCUGCUUGUAAAGCUGGACUAGAGGAUCCUGAUGAUGAUGUUCGGGCAGUUGCUGCUGAUGCUUUAAUACCAACAGCUGCUUCGAUUGUUUCUCUGAAGGGUCGGACAUUGCAUUCCAUUAUUAUGCUACUUUGGGAUAUAUUACUUGAUUUAGAUGAUCUAAGUCCAUCCACUAGCAGUGUGAUGAAUCUUUUGGCAGAAAUUUAUUCCCAAGAGGAUAUGAUUCCUAAGAGGAUAUCAAAAGAGAAACAAGAGUUAGAUCUGAAUGAAGUGAUGAACAUUGAUGAUGCUGGAGAAGGAAGAGAUUUGCAGGAGAAUCCUUACAUGUUAUCAACAUUGGCACCACGAUUAUGGCCAUUUAUGAGGCACAGUAUCACAUCAGUUCGAUAUUCAGCUAUUCGAACCCUGGAGCGAUUACUUGAAGCUGGUUAUAAAAGGAACAUUUCUGAGCCAUCUGGUACUUCAUUUUGGCCCUCGUUUAUUUUGGGAGAUUCCCUUCGGAUAGUUUUUCAGAAUCUUCUGCUUGAAUCAAAUGAAGAAAUUUUGCUAUGUUCAGAGAGGGUUUGGAGGCUCCUUGUUCAGUGCCCAGUGGAGGACUUGGAAGCUGCUGCAAAUUUAUACAUGUCUUCCUGGAUUGAACUUGCAACCACACCAUAUGGUUCUCCAUUAGAUUCUACGAAGAUGUUUUGGCCUGUGGCUCCACCUCGAAAGUCUCAUUUUAGAGCAGCAGCUAAAAUGAGAGCUGUGAAACUUGAAAAUGAGUCAUGUAAAAUCAUCGGCAUGGAUUCUGGGAAAGAAACUAUUCCACAGGAAAGAAAUGGAGAUGCUUCUGCUAGUACAGUAAAGAUUAUUGUUGGUGCUGAUGUUGAAAUGUCAAUAACUAAUACUCGAGUGAUUACAGCAUCAGCAUUGGGAAUUUUUGCUUCUAAGUUGCGUGAGGGAUCUUUUCUAUAUGUAGUAGAUGCACUGUGGAAUGCUCUUGCCUCUUCUUCUGGGGUCCAGCGGCAGGUGGCAUCCAUGGUUCUUAUAUCAUGGUUCAAAGAGAUCAACAGCAAUGACCUGUCUGAAAAACAUGGAGUUAUACCUGCUUUUCCUAAUCAUGUUAAGAGUUGGUUGUUGGAUUUAUUAUCAUGUUCUGACCCUGCAUUUCCUACAAAAGAUUCAGUUCUUCCAUAUUCUGAGCUUUCAAGGACGUAUACGAAGAUGCACAAUGAGGCUAGUCAGUUACUACACGCCAUCGAGUCCUCUGGCAUGUUUGAUAAUACAUUAUCAUCUAUUAGAGUAGAUCUGGAAAGCUUGAGUGCUGAUAAGGCAAUCAAUCUUACUUCAAUGUUGCCUCCAUUAUGUAAUGAAGGUACUGUGAAUGAACCUAUGGGACGAAACAUUGUGGAUGAUAUUGAAUCAUCAAAGCACAGACUUUUGACAACUGCAGGCUAUUUGAAAUGUGUACAGAGUAACUUGCAUGUUACUGUCUCUGCUUUAGUUGCCGCUGCAGUUGUCUGGAUGUCAGAGCUUCCUGCACGACUUAAUCCAAUCAUUUUACCUCUAAUGGCCUCGAUCAAAAGAGAGCAGGAGGAAAUAUUACAAUACAAGGCUGCUGAGGCACUUGCUGAACUAAUUUGUCGUUGUAUUGCACGUAAGCCUAGUCCAAAUGAUAAGCUAGUCAAGAAUAUUUGUAGUUUGACAUGUGCGGAUCCCUCAGAGACACCUCAAGUUGGAGUCAUCAGUUCUGUGGAGAUUAUUGAUGAUCAAGAUUUCCUUUCCUUUGGGAAUAAUAUGGGAAAACAGAAGUCAAAGGUUCAUACGCUAGCUGGUGGUGAAGACAGGUCAAGAAUUGAGGGCUUCAUUAGCAGACGAGGUUCUGAACUUGCAUUGAAACAUUUGUGCGAGAAAUUUGGUGCUUCCUUAUUUGACAAACUUCCAAAACUUUGGGAUUGCCUCACUGAAGUUCUGAUGCCUGGAAGUCCCACAGAUGAACGACAAAUUGCACUGAGUAUUGAGUCUGUGAAAGAUCCUCAAGUCCUCAUAAAUAAUAUUCAGGUAGUACGUUCUGUUGCUCCAAUUUUGGACGAGACAUUGAAGCCUAAGUUGCUCACACUUCUCCCAUGCAUUUUCAAAUGUGUUCGCCAUUCCCACGUUGCAGUUAGAUUGGCUGCUUCGAGGUGUAUUACUUCAAUGGCUAAGUCAAUGAUAACAAAUGUCAUGGCUGCUGUAGUUGACAAUGCCAUUCCAAUGUUAGGGGAUGCUACAUCUGUUCAUGCCAGACAAGGUGCUGGCAUGCUUGUUAGUUUUCUUGUUCAGGGAUUGGGUGUGGAUUUGGUACCAUAUGCUCCUUUAUUAGUUGUUCCUCUUCUUCGGUGCAUGAGUGAUAUUGAUCACUCAGUAAGACAGAGUGUGACACGCAGUUUUGCUGCCCUUGUUCCUCUUCUUCCAUUAGCAAGGGGUCUGCCCUCUCCUAGUGGAUUGAAUGAGGGUCUAACGAGGAAUGCAGAAGAUGCACAGUUUUUGGAGCAACUACUUGACAAUUCACAUAUUGAUGAUUACAAGCUUUUCACAGAAUUGAAGGUGACAUUGAGAAGGUAUCAACAAGAGGGGAUUAACUGGUUGGCUUUCUUAAAACGUUUCAAGCUUCAUGGCAUUCUCUGUGAUGAUAUGGGACUUGGUAAAACAUUACAGGCAUCAGCAAUUGUGGCAUCCGACAUUGCAGAGCGACGUACUUCAAGUAGCAAUGAGGAUAUUCAACCAUCUUUGAUAGUUUGCCCAUCAACACUUGUUGGACACUGGGCCUUUGAGAUAGAGAAGUAUAUUGAUGUUUCUGUAAUAAGCACGCUACAAUAUACUGGCUCUGCUCAAGAGCGUACGUCUCUUAGAGAACAGUUUGAUAAGCAUAAUGUCAUCAUUACCUCAUAUGAUGUCAUUCGCAAAGAUAUUGAUGUCCUUGGGCAGUUUCUGUGGAAUUAUUGUAUUUUGGAUGAAGGGCAUAUAAUCAAGAAUGCGAAGUCCAAAAUUACAGCUGCAGUGAAGCAGUUGAAAGCCCAACAUCGCCUAAUACUUAGUGGAACACCUAUUCAGAAUAACAUCAUGGAUUUAUGGUCUCUCUUUGACUUUCUAAUGCCAGGGUUUCUUGGGACGGAAAGACAGUUUCAAGCCACUUAUGGGAAACCUUUGUUGGCUGCUAGAGAUGCUAAAUGUUCUGCCAAGGAUGCUGAAGCUGGGGUGCUUGCCAUGGAAGCCUUGCACAAGCAGGUGAUGCCCUUUCUCCUCCGGCGAACAAAAGAUGAAGUUUUGUCUGACUUGCCAGAGAAAAUUAUUCAGGACAGAUAUUGUGAUUUGAGCCCUGUCCAGUUAAAACUAUACGAACAGUUUUCUGGUUCACAUGUUAGACAAGAGAUUUCAAGUAUGGUAAAACUGGGUGAGCCAACACAUAAUGAAGGACAUAGUGCUUCACCAAAAGCAUCUUCACAUGUUUUCCAGGCACUUCAGUACUUGCUAAAACUUUGUAGCCAUCCAUUGCUUGUUGUUGGUGACAAGAUGCCUGAAGUACUUGCAUCCCAGUUGUCUGAACUCUUGCCCACUAGUUCUGACAUAAUCUCAGAAUUACAUAAGCUACACCACUCACCAAAAUUAGUUGCUCUGCAAGAGAUUCUGGAGGAAUGUGGCAUAGGUGUAGAUGCUUCUAGUUCUGAGAAUGCUAUGAGUGUUGGUCAGCACAGAGUUUUGAUAUUCGCUCAACACAAGGCCCUUCUUGACAUUAUUGAAAGAGACUUGUUUCACUCCCAUAUGAAGAAUGUCACAUACUUGCGGCUGGAUGGAUCAGUUGAACCAGACAAACGAUUUGAAAUUGUAAAGGCUUUUAAUUCAGACCCUACUAUUGAUGCAUUAUUGCUUACAACUCACGUUGGUGGCCUUGGUUUGAAUCUGACAUCUGCUGACACCCUUGUUUUCAUGGAGCAUGAUUGGAAUCCAAUGCGAGAUCUUCAGGCGAUGGACAGGGCGCACAGAUUAGGUCAAAAGAAAGUUGUGAAUGUUCAUCGUCUCAUCAUGCGUGGCACGUUAGAAGAGAAAGUUAUGAAUCUCCAGAAAUUCAAAUUGUCUGUUGCCAAUGCUGUUAUUAAUGCAGAGAAUGCCAGCCUGAAAACAAUGAAUACAGACCAAUUACUUGAUUUAUUUGCAUCAGCUGAAACCAGUACAAAGGGAACUCCGACCUCAAAGCGUGCAGACGGUAAGUCCGAUGAUGACCCUAAAUUAAUGGGCACUGGAAAGGGAUUAAAAGCCAUCCUUGGGGGACUGGAAGAGCUCUGGGACCAAUCACAGUACACUGAAGAGUACAAUCUGACACAAUUCUUAGCAAAGCUCAACGGGUGAACCCCAGUUGCUCAAGCUGUGUACAAAGUGUAUAUUUUUUGUUGAGCUAGGAAAAAAAAAUUUUGACAUUUUAAUGUUAGUUCUUUUUUCCCCCACCUUAAUUUUUGCCAUUUUUCUUUCCCCACAUUCAUAUAUUUUUUUGAUUUCUCCUAUAUGUGUGAUUGAUGUGGGAGGCUGGGGAAAAGAUGGUUUUAGUGGUUGGUUCAAGAGCCUGCACAAGGUAUAUCGAAAUGUCAACCCAAAAUGCAUCAGAUGGGAAAGAGAAAUUGUAGAGUUCGAAUAUUGUAUAUACAAUUAGCUUCUUUAUUCUAAUCUAAAAAUCAAUCAUUUUAAAUUUUGUUGUCCACAAAAGCAUUUCGUGUUUGUGUAGAAGAUACUUGCCUUGUGAAAGUAGUUUUGUGUGUGAAUG
rnacentral:misc_RNA from 1 species